UACGGGGGGGGCAAGCGUUGUUCGGGAUUACUGGGCGUAAAGGGCUCGUAGGUGGCCAACUAAGUCAUACGUGAAAUCCCUCGGCUUAACCGGGGAACUGCGUCUGAUACUGGAUGGCUUGAGAUUGGGAGAGGGAUGCGGAAUUCCAGGUGUAGCGGUGAAAUGCGUAGAUAUCUGGAGGAACACCGGUGGCGAAGGCGGCAUCCUGGACCGAGAUUGACGCUGAGGCGCGAAAGCUAGGGGAGCAAACGGG
rnacentral:rRNA from 1 species